UUCUCUGCAUAAUCAUAGGAACCCAGGCAGUAGCAACGUUUCACAAUGUUUCAAUCACCAUCAUCAGUGGAUGCCUUUGCCGUCCGUACCCUGAGAUUUCAGAUUUGCAGCAAAAAAUGUGACUUUCCCAUUUAUUGGAAUGCUGUGUUGUACCUUGCAGCCAUCCAUUACAAUGUCACCAAGCCGUAACAAAAGCAGGAGAGGGAAAGUACAAGGCUAUGUUCCCAAAACACACAAGUGACAUACCUUAUGUGGAUGAUGUGAUCAGGCUUGUGUUUGCUGAGGUAUUUGAAGAUAAGCUGAAGGAAACCCCGAUUCCAAUGGACCUGGCAUCACAGUUUGAGAGACCUUCAAAGGAGGACGUGAUUGCAUGCCAUCUUCAG